UGGAGAUACUGGGUACCCAUGCCUGUCUGUCACUGGCGUCUUCUGGAAAGAUUUUCUUUAUGUUGAUUGCCUGUGUGGGUGCUAUCAGUUGGUUUGAGGAGUUAAGCAAUAUUGAGAUCUAAAUAAGGCCAGAUUUCCAUAACUUGGGCUUGUUUCUCUUAAUAUAAGCUAUACUCCCAAGACACAGAGUUUCACAGAAUGAGGGAUGAAAGGCAUCAGCUGAUUCACAGAUAUGAGGAUAACAGGGUUGCCAAGCUCUAUUUUGGGCUAGCCGGCACAGACAUCCCUUCCGUGUUUAUUAUCCACAUUUCAUGAAACUACGUUUUUAUCUACGUUGGGAAUCCAGUGUGAAAAUUGGCUGUGUAAAGUCACAUGUUAGCCACUAAGUUUGUGACAGCAGCCUCACUGCCCCACUCUCCCAGGGACUGGUUUGUUCACUUUUCCUUACUGUUCUUUGGGGACAUGGGGACUGAGAGCUUCUGUUUGCUUGUGGGAUACUGGACGUUCUCCUCUCUGGCCUAUUUGUCUUCUCUUUGUCCCCAUAGCAAUCUUUGGGACUCAGGAGUCAGCCUGGGACAAAGCCAGCUUCUCCAGGAGCUUCUAGAAGCUCUAGCAUCUGAAGUGUGUUUUCAGACAAGAGUGGAAAAGGUGGCAAUUCCAGAUGUGUUCUUCCAAGGAUCAGAAAUGAUCUACUAAAGUACUCAGCUAGGCAAACACCAGGUGCUCAGCAAACAUCAGGCUUGGUGCGGACGGCCCUUGAAUACUUUUCAACCACUUCCUGUGCAUCUUUGCUUCACCUUAUACUGCCGUUCUCUCCAGCCCUCCCUGAGGAGGUUCAGUAAGUAGAAAACUGGUUGUGUCUUGUGUUGUUAAGACAGUCUCUCCCCUCUCCUUCAUUUGCCGCAUAGAAUUCUUUCAUCCAGAUUUAUUUUGCUGCAUUGAUGAUGUGUGUUUUUCCUAUAAAUUAAACAAAGA
rnacentral:lncRNA from 1 species